rnacentral:rRNA from 1 species
GCUCAGAACGAACGCUGGCGGCAUGCCUAACACAUGCAAGUCGAACGAAGGCUUCGGCCUUAGUGGCGCACGGGUGCGUAACGCGUGGGAAUCUGCCCUUUGGUUCGGAAUAACAGCUGGAAACGGCUGCUAAUACCGGAUGAUGUCGAUGAGACCAAAGAUUUAUCGCCAGAGGAUGAGCCCGCGUUGGAUUAGGUAGUUGGUGGGGUAAAGGCCUACCAAGCCGACGAUCCAUAGCUGGUCUGAGAGGAUGAUCAGCCACACUGGGACUGAGACACGGCCCAGACUCCUACGGGAGGCAGCAGUGGGGAAUAUUGGACAAUGGGCGAAAGCCUGAUCCAGCAAUGCCGCGUGAGUGAUGAAGGCCCUAG